UGCUCCGGGAUCUUGUACGGCGAGUGAGCGGUAAAAGCUCAAAUUUGAAAUCUGGUACUUUCAGUGCCCGAGUUGUAAUUUGUAGAAUUUGUCUUUGAUUAGGUCCUUGUCUAUGUUCCUUGGAACAGGACGUCAUAGAGGGUGAGAAUCCCGUUUGGCGAGGAUACCUUUUCUCUGUAAGACUUUUUCGAAGAGUCGAGUUGUUUGGGAAUGCAGCUCAAAGUGGGUGGUAAAUUCCAUCUAAAGCUAAAUAUUGGCGAGAGACCGAUAGCGAACAAGUACAGUGAUGGAAAGAUGAAAAGAACUUUGAAAAGAGAGUGAAAAAGUACGUGAAAUUGUUGAAAGGGAAGGGCAUUUGAUCAGACAUGGUGUUUUUUGCAUGCACUCGCCUCUCGUGGGCUUGGGCCUCUCAAAAAUUUCACUGGGCCAACAUCAAUUCUGGCAGCAGGAUAAAUCAUUAAGAAUGUAGCUACUUCGGUAGUGUUAUAGCUUUUUGGAAUACUGUUAGCCGGGAUUGAGGACUGCGCUUCGGCAAGGAUGUUGGCAUAAUGGUUAAAUGCCGCCCGUCUAAAAACCCGGGAACA
rnacentral:rRNA from 1 species